rnacentral:lncRNA from 1 species
AGUACACACUCCUCUCCUGCUAACACCCAGAGAACUGAAGAUCCAGCCAGCAUCAUGAACCACUUUAUUGAUUCAGCAGUCGACAAAGCAGCUAAUGUUGCUAAAGUGAAGGUGAAGUCUAUGCUUGGAGGAGGAGGAGGAGCAGCAGGAGAUUCCAAGAAGCAGGGCAAGUCUGGCGGAGGACUAGGAGGACUAGGAGGCAUUGGAGGCCUCUUCCCCUCUGCAUCAGAUGGCGGCAAGAAAGAGACGUCAAAGGGAGGUGGACUGUUUGAUGGGCUUAAAACUUCACCCAGUGAGGAGCCAAGAUAUGAACCCAGUGGAGGAGCCAGCGGAGGAGCAGAAAACUCAGAUUUCAGCUCUGCAGUAGAUGAGCUGGCUGGACUCUAAGCAGAAGAAUCAAACAACGACGGACUCCCAUCCAUCCACACAUCAUCUAGAAGCCAACUGUGAUGAUUAUUUAUAGUAAAACUUCAUAAUAAAACUAUUUUAUUAUUUUUUUUAUUACUUUCAUUUGUAUUGCAACAAAGGAGAAGCCUGAAUGGUCUGUGGCUUAUUGUGUGUAAAUACAGUAUGAAGGCUUGGAAAAUGAAGAUAAGCUAAUCCCAACAUUAUGCUAAUAUUUUCUCAUGAUCAAAUCUGUCCAAUAGACCAAUAUUGUCUUCAGCACCAUCUGUUCAGUAGUGAGUAAAAUAUUUUUGUAUAUAGUCUUUCAAACCUUUAAUAAAAACAUGACAUUUGC